rnacentral:lncRNA from 1 species
CUGUCAUUUCCUGUUGUAUGUUUACUUUAGAGGCCAACAGGAGACCAGGAGGAUGAGCCAUUCUUGUCUGGAUGGAGAGGCUUCUUCUCCAGUGUGGGUCUGUCGCUCCCGGCCUCUGUGUGUCGCCUGGCCCCAUCUGCUCUGCGCCUCAGUCACCGCAGAAUGCUCCAAGGAAAAGCUCCAGAAAUUCCCGAACAUGUCCUGAGGCUGGCAGGAGUCGGCCCGGACAAGCUAAGGGCAGAGUGGAGCCUACCAGGCUUCAUCUCCCUGUUCCUGCCGGAGUUUCCACACAGGACGGUACCGGGACAGGAGCAUUUCCAGGUCAUGAGUUACAUCGCCAAAGGCUCAUUUGGGCCCAUUCUUAAAGUGAAGGACAAAGCCAAACAGAAAACCUAUGCUGUAAAAGUCAUACCGAAAUCAGAAAUCCUUAGGCUUGGUGUUCUGGAGCAGUCAAAGGAAGAAGUCAUUGUCCAGUGUGUGACUACUGCAGCACUGGGGACCUCUACACCUACUGGCAAAUGAAUGGACAGUUUUCAGAGGACAUUGUCAGGGUGUUUGCAGCAGAGCUGGGCUGUGCUUUGGGUGUGUGGCUAAUCUUAUUAGAUUUAAAUGUUUGAAAGAAUGUAUGUUUUUUGAUUAAUUACUGUUUUAGGUUUUCUGCAUAACGUUGGAGUCAUCCAUCGAGAUGUGAAGGUAAGCUAAUAGUAUAUAGAAUUAAGAAGAUAAUGUUGUGGAACAAAAUUGUAUGAUGCACUUUUAAUUCAUACUUCUCA